GACGAACGCUGGCGGCGUGCUUAACACAUGCAAGUCGAACGGAGGAUUUAUUUCGGUAAAUCCUUAGUGGCGAACGGGUGAGUAACGCGUGGGCAAUCUGCCCUUCAGAUGGGGACAACAUCCCGAAAGGGGUGCUAAUACCGAAUACGAUCACGCUGCCGCAUGGCGGUGUGAUGAAAGAUGGCCUCUAUUUAUAAGCUAUCGCUGAAGGAUGAGCCUGCGUCUGAUUAGCUAGUUGGUGGGGUAACGGCCUACCAAGGCGAUGAUCAGUAGCCGGUCUGAGAGGAUGAACGGCCACAUUGGGACUGAGACACGGCCCGAACUCCUACGGGAGGCAGCAGUGGGGAAUAUUCCGCAAUGGACGAAAGUCUGACGGAGCAACGCCGCGUGAGUGAUGAAGGUUUUCGGACUGUAAAGCUCUGUUGUUUAGGACGAAAGUGCCUGUUGCGAACAGUUACAGGUAUUGACGGUACUGAACGAGGAAGCCACGGCUAACUACGUGCCAGCCGCCGCAGUAA
rnacentral:rRNA from 1 species